UUGUGGGCUACAUAAAUGAUACACCUGGUC
rnacentral:piRNA from 1 species